rnacentral:tRNA from 1 species
GCCUGGGUGGCUCAGUCAGUGGAGCGCCCAACUUGGGCCCAGGUCAUGAUCUCCCGGUUCGUGAGUUCGAGCCCCACCUCAGGCU